AUGAUGAAGUGGCACAAGGAAGGGAAAAGGUACAAUCCAAAAAAAAUUGUACAUACAUCAGAAGGUGAAGCAUGGAAGUCAUUCGAUAUAAAGUACCCGGAGGAAGCAGCCGAGGCUGGGAAUGUCAGAAUUGCUAUAACAGGUGAUGGGUUCAACCCAUAUGGUAUGUCGUCUAAUCCAUACAGCUGCUGGCCCAUAUUUGUUAUUCCGCUCAAUCUCCCUCCCGACGCCAUAAUGCAACGCAAGACCAUGUUUCUGUCGCUUAUAAUUCCUGGGCCUGAAUAUCCAGGGAAGAAUUUGAGUGUGUUUAUGCAGCCGUUGGUGGAUUAUUUGCACCAUUCUUGGUACUUCCCGAGGUUGACAUACGACCGACAUCUGCAGAAAAAUUUCUUGAUGAAAGUUUGGCUACAGUAUUGCAUGCAUGACUUUCCCGGCUAUGCCCUGUUCUGCGGAUGGUGUACAAGUGGAAAGAUGCCUUGCCCAGUGUGCAUGCAGGCCUUGAUUUUCAUUUGGAUGAAGAAGGGUGGCAAGUAUGUUGCCUUUGACCAGCAUCGACAAUUCCUCCCUCCAGACCAUCCUGAUAGGGAAGACAAGAAGAACUUCACAAAAGGCAAAGUUGUCCAUGAAGUAAAUGAGAUUCCAACGUUUUCUGGUGCGGAUGUGCUUGCUCAGCUCAAAGCUCUUAAGCCUGCCUGUGAAGGGAAAGGCAAAGGCAAAGGCAAAGGUAAAGGGAAAAAAUGUUUUGAAGGAUAUGGUGAGACGCACAACUGGACUCACAUUACCCUAUAA
rnacentral:rRNA from 1 species